rfam:Asian citrus Psyllid, Diaphorina citri - Florida Strain, whole genome shotgun sequence.
ACCUUGGUGGUUUAGUGGUCAAGGCACUUGCCUGGUAAACAGAAGGGCGUGGGUUCAAUCCCAGCCCAGGUA